AUUGAACGAACUUGUCGCUAAAAUUCACCCACAUAGCAAACAUCGCGGUGCUGUAAGUAAUUCGUUCACAAAGGCGCUCCGGCAACGGGGCGCUUUCUAUUGAUCAACAAGCUGGAACGGCAGCUCAAUAAAGUGCAGCACAAAGGCGAAGCCCGUCGUGCCACCGCAUCGGUGAAAGAUGCCAGCUUCGUCGAAGCAGAAGAAGAGUAGUCCCUUACAUUGAGUGUAUCGCCAACGCGCCUUCGGGCGCGUUUUUU
rnacentral:sRNA from 1 species